GAUGAACGCUGGCGGCGUGCCUAAUACAUGCAAGUCGAGCGAACGGACGAGAAGCUUGUUUCUCUGAUGUUAGCGGCGGACGGGUGAGUAACACGUGGAUAACCUACCUAUAAGACUGGGAUAACUUCGGGAAACCGGAGCUAAUACCGGAUAAUAUUUUGAACCGCAUGGUUCAAAAGUGAAAGACGGUCUUGCUGUCACUUAUAGAUGGAUCCGCGCUGCAUUAGCUAGUUGGUAAGGUAACGGCUUACCAAGGCAACGAUGCAUAGCCGACCUGAGAGGGUGAUCGGCCACACUGGAACUGAGACACGGUCCAGACUCCUACGGGAGGCAGCAGUAAGGAAUCCUCCGCAAUGGGCGAAAGCCUGACGGAGCAACGCCGCGUGAGUGAUGAAGGCCUUCGGAUCGUAAAACUCUGUUAUUAGGGAAGAACAUAUGUGUAAGUAACUGUGCACAUCUUGACGGUACCUAAUCAGAAAGCCACGGCUAACUACGUG
rnacentral:rRNA from 1 species